rnacentral:rRNA from 1 species
AGCGAACGCGGUGAACUGAAACAUCUAAGUAACCGCAGGAAAAGAAAUCAACCGAGAUUCCCAAAGUAGUGGCGAGCGAAAUGGGAUGAGCCUUGCACUCUUUAUUUGUAUUGUUAGCCGAACGCUCUGGAAAGUGCGGCCAUAGCAGGUGAUAGCCCUGUAGGCGAAAACAGUAUGAAAGAACUAGGUGUGCGACAAGUAGGGCGGGACACGUGAAAUCCUGUCUGAAGAUGGGGGGACCAUCCUCCAAGGCUAAAUACUCGUGAUCGACCGAUAGUGAACCAGUACCGUGAGGGAAAGGCGAAAAGAACCCCGGGAGGGGAGUGAAAUAGAUCCUGAAACCGCAUGCAUACAAACAGUCGGAGCCUCGUAAGGGGUGACGGCGUACCUUUUGUAUAAUGGGUCAGCGACUUACGUUCAGUAGCAAGCUUAACCGUAUAGGGCAGGCGUAGCGAAAGCGAGUCCGAAUAGGGCGUUCAGUUGCUGGGCGUAGACCCGAAACCAGGUGAUCUAUCCAUGGCCAGGAUGAAGGUGCGGUAACACGUACUGGAGGUCCGAACCCACUAACGUUGAAAAGUUAGGGGAUGAGCUGUGGAUAGGGGUGAAAGGCUAAACAAACCUGGAAAUAGCUGGUUCUCUCCGAAAACUAUUUAGGUAGUGCCUCGUGUCUCACCUUCGGGGGUAGAGCACUGUCAUGGUUGGGGGGUCUAUUGCAGAUUACCCCGCCAUAGCAAACUCCGAAUACCGAAGAGUGCAAUCACGGGAGACAGACAUCGGGUGCUAACGUCCGGUGUCAAGAGGGAAACAACCCAGACCGCCAGCUAAGGUCCCCAAAUAUAGCUAAGUGGGAAACGAAGUGGGAAGGCUAAAACAGUCAGGAGGUUGGCUUAGAAGCAGCCACCCUUUAAAGAAAGCGUAAUAGCUCACUGAUCGAGUCGUCCUGCGCGGAAGAUGUAACGGGGCUAAGCUAUAUACCGAAGCUGCGGAUGCGUGCUUAGCACGCAUGGUAGGAGAGCGUUCCGUAAGCCUGCGAAGGUGCCUUGUAAAGGGUGCUGGAGGUAUCGGAAGUGCGAAUGCUGACAUGAGUAGCGAUAAAGGGGGUGAAAGGCCCCCUCGCCGUAAGCCCAAGGUUUCCUACGCAACGUUCAUCGGCGUAGGGUGAGUCGGCCCCUAAGGCGAGGCAGAAAUGCGUAGCUGAUGGGAAGCAGGUCAAUAUUCCUGCACCAUUGUUAGAUGCGAUGGGGGGACGGAUCGCGGAAGGUUGUCCGGGUGUUGGAAGUCCCGGUCGCUGCAUUGGAGAAGGCGCUUAGGCAAAUCCGGGCGCGGAAUUCAAGGGUGUGGCGCGAGCUCCUUAGGGAGCGAAGCAAUUGGAAGUGGUUCCAAGAAAAGCCUCUAAGCUUCAGUCUAACGAUGACCGUACCGCAAACCGACACAGGUGGGCGAGAUGAGUAUUCUAAGGCGCUUGAGAGAACUCGGGAGAAGGAACUCGGCAAAUUGGUACCGUAACUUCGGGAUAAGGUACGCCCUUGUAGCUUGACUGGCUUGCGCCAGAAGGGUGAAGGGGUUGCAAUAAACUGGUGGCUGCGACUGUUUAAUAAAAACACAGCACUCUGCAAACACGAAAGUGGACGUAUAGGGUGUGACGCCUGCCCGGUGCCGGAAGAUUAAAUGAUGGGGUGCAAGCUCUUGAUUGAAGUCCCGGUAAACGGCGGCCGUAACUAUAACGGUCCUAAGGUAGCGAAAUUCCUUGUCGGGUAAGUUCCGACCUGCACGAAUGGCGUAACGAUGGCCACACUGUCUCCUCCCGAGACUCAGCGAAGUUGAAGUGUUUGUGAUGAUGCAAUCUACCCGCGGCUAGACGGAAAGACCCCAUGAACCUUUACUGUAGCUUUGCAUUGGACUUUGAACCGAUCUGUGUAGGAUAGGUGGGAGGCUAUGAAACCGGAACGCUAGUUUCGGUGGAGCCGUCCUUGAAAUACCACCCUGGUUUGUUUGAGGUUCUAACCUUGGCCCGUGAUCCGGGUCGGGGACAGUGCAUGGUAGGCAGUUUGACUGGGGCGGUCUCCUCCCAAAGCGUAACGGAGGAGUACGAAGGUACGCUAGGUACGGUCGGAAAUCGUGCUGAUAGUGCAAUGGCAUAAGCGUGCUUAACUGCGAGACCGACAAGUCGAGCAGGUGCGAAAGCAGGUCAUAGUGAUCCGGUGGUUCUGUAUGGAAGGGCCAUCGCUCAACGGAUAAAAGGUACUCUGGGGAUAACAGGCUGAUACCGCCCAAGAGUUCAUAUCGACGGCGGUGUUUGGCACCUCGAUGUCGGCUCAUCUCAUCCUGGGGCUGUAGCCGGUCCCAAGGGUAUGGCUGUUCGCCAUUUAAAGAGGUACGUGAGCUGGGUUUAAAACGUCGUGAGACAGUUUGGUCCCUAUCUGCCGUGGGCGUUGGAUAUUUGAAGGGGGCUGCUCCUAGUACGAGAGGACCGGAGUGGACGAACCUCUGGUGUACCGGUUGUCACGCCAGUGGCAUCGCCGGGUAGCUAUGUUCGGAAGAGAUAACCGCUGAAAGCAUCUAAGCGGGAAACUCGCCUUAAGAUGAGAUAUCCCUGGGGACUAGAUCCCCUUGAAGGGUCGUUCGAGACCAGGACGUUGAUAGGUCAGGUGUGUAAGCGCAGUAAUGCGUUCAGCUAACUGAUACUAAUUGCCCGUAAGGCUUGAUCC